UAGCUUAAACAGUAAGCUACAUUCGUUUAACCGGCUCUAUUUAUGAUACCACCAUUCACCUGUUUUCUUUCUCCUCUUCUUCUUCUCCCUUGCUCGCUGUAAGGGUUUCGAUUGUUUGAUAUUAAGUUUAUGUGGUCUGUCCGAUUUUCGAGAAUAAGAGUUUUCUGCUCUCUCCAUAUUUAUUAUUUUGAUUCUUCGCUUUGUUGCAUUCUUGAAUUUUAAUAACUUAAUCUGACAAUGUUGCUUUCUUCUUCUUGUUUCUUGGUUCCGUGUCUUUGUGAAUUUUGCGUGUUGGUUCCAGUUAGUUGAUAAAUAGUUUAUGUGUUCUCCUCCCUAUCAUGAUUCUUGACCGUUAUAUUGAUAAAUAACAAGUUUUAAUUUUUUUAUUUACAUUCUUGAAUAUUGAUAUCUUAAUCUGAGAAUGUUGCUUUCUUGUUCUUCUUCUUCUUCCUUUUUUUUUUGGUUCCGUGUUUAUGUUUUUUUUUGUGGGUUUUGCAUGUUCGUUCUAGUUAGUUGAUAAAUAGUUUAUGUGCCCACCUCUACAUCAUGAUUCUUGACAGCUAUACUGAUGACAACACAAGUUUUAAUUUCUCCACUUUAUUGCAUUCUUGAAUUUUGAUAACUUAAUCUGGGGGUGUUGUUUUCUUCUUUUUUGGGUUCCGUGUUUAUGGUUUCUUUGUGGGUCUUGCAUAUUGGUUCUAGUGCUCUCUCCAUAUCAUGAUUCUUAACAUUCUUGCUUCUUGAAUCAUGUUCUGUGGAAACACGUUCGCAAAGUUGAAUAAGCAGAAUGUAGCGAACUCAGCCAUAAGCCCCUUGACUUCGAACUUUACCUGUUGUUCUGUUAUUGAUUCAUUAGUUUGUUUAAUGAAGAUAUCUGCUCCCAAGGAACCAGAACUGAUGAGCGUAGAUAGCAAGGCAUAACUUUAACUCAAACAUGACAUAAAAAGGGUCAGCAUCAUUUUCUUGACGGUUCCGAUGAGAUGUCAUAUCUGUCAUGGAGUUGUUAUUGUUGGAUUUUAGGAAAAAAGUGUUUGCUGAAUAAUCUGACUGUAAUUUUUUAUUCUGCAUGGGUAUUUAUGUUAAUGGAUUCUCCUGUAAUAGAGUUUCAUCUGGUAUCUUUGGUGUUCCAUAUUUUAGUUAUUGUGUGUUGUCCUUUUGUUGAGUGGAAUUAAUUAAAAUCAGUUCUUACCAUUGUUGUGUGCUGAAAUUGCAAGCCAAGACCUUUACUUCUAGAAAUAAUGAUAGUCUGAACAACAACAGUAAAAAGUACUUUCCAUUUCAAUGUUGCAAUGCAUAUUUUAUCUUUGUUAAAAUUCUCUUCUGCUGGCUUUAUUUACUUUGUUUCUUGAUUUUGAGUAUCUUGUGGAUAAUUUCUCUUUCUCCAUAUUUGUUUCUAUAUAUUGGCAACACUUUCUACUCUUAGCAAUUUCCCAUGUAUUAUUAUCGGAAAGUGUUUUUUGUAUUAAUCUCUACACAUAGAUUACCAGGUGGUUAGAUUAUAUUAACUGCUACACAGACUACACAAUUUCUCCUUCUCCAUAUCUGUAAGUGUUUCUGAACGUAUAUGCAAUCUUUGCAUAUGAUCUGUUUAGUAGUUCGUGGCAUGCUUUGGUUGAUGGACCAAAAGUUUAAGAUAAAAGCAGAUCAUAUGCAAAGAUUGCAAGUACGGGUAUCCUUUUGGUAGAAUAAUGCAGAUUUAAGUCCAUAUUUUCCUCUAAUCCAAGUAAAAUACUCAAUAUUUAACAGGACUGUAAUAAUUGUUUAUGUAGUUCCCCUUUUUCAUUGAUGAAGAAAACGCUUCUUGCGUACUAAGGAUAGAAGUCAUCAUCAUUCCAAGGGACUGGGUUUCAUCCUACCGCUAGAGAAUUUCCACUGGGGGCUUCAUCUAUGGAUAAUGUAAGGAUGCACGAUGAAGACGGAGUUGGUAAUAAGCCCAAGUUAGAGCCUGAAGAGAUGCAUUAUGAUAAGCCCAAUUCUGUGCCAGCUAUUGAUGCUUGUAGUUGUGUUUAAUUAGUGAUUAGCAAAUCAAUUCAAUCUUCUUUCCUAACCGUAGGAACAUUAGCCUUUAAUGUAGCAAGAAUGCAACAUCUUGUCAAACACUAAAUAUAUCUCCGGGCUCAUCCAGUUUUCAUACCUUUGGAAAGAAAUAUGACGUUCAUAGCGUGUCCAAUGAACCUCUGUUGUGGUCCAGGGAUGCCAAUGUCUUAGACUCCUCCAUAUUUGGUCAGCAGCCAAGUAUCAAUGGCCAUGACUAUACCUCGACUUAUUUUAGGUCUUACUUCCUGAGAAUCAUGGAAGUGAAGCCAUCAUCAAUUAUGCCUCCUGCUGAAACACAACCUUCAGUCUAAAUCUCAGUUAAACACCCCAAUUUGGCGACAUCCAUCCAGUACGGAAUAUUUCUUGUUUACCCGGAUGCAUGAUUGGAAUAAGGUUGGUGAUAAGCCCAAGUUAGAGCCUGAAGAAAUGCACUAUGAUAAUUGUGGUGAUGAUUAGGAUGUGGAUGGCAUAAUGCCGAAGCUUUGAUGGGCUGAUUAAUACACAGUUAUUCCUAUGGAGAAAUUGACAUUAAUGGAGAAGGAAGAAGCUAGAUUUUUUUUUUUGCCAUGUGAAGGAUUUGGUGAUAGGAAGACAUGGGGGUAUGGACGCAUCAAGUUCUUGGGGGAAACAGAUGUCUGGGCGCUUGAUCUUGAUUCUGCUGUCAUGAGGUGAUUAUCUAUAUGGAUGAGAGCAAGAAACCUCCAGUUGGACAAGGCCUCAACAAGACAGCUGAGAUAACUCUUCUUAAUGUCAGAUGCAUGAACAAUUCGAAUGAGAAGGAGUACAUAGAUGGACCAAUGGUCAACAAGUACAGAGUAAGGGCAGUGGAAAUUUUGGUAUCACACUUCUGAUUGACCAUAAGCCUUUAAUGAAGCAAUGAAUGCUACAUCUGGUCAAACACAAAACAUAUCUCCAGGCUCAUCCACUUAGAAACAUUAGGAAAGAAAUAUGAUGUUAAUAGCCUGGCCAAUGAACCUUUGUUGUGGUCCAGGGAUGACAAUGUCUCAGACUCCUCCUUCAUUUGGUGUUUCAAGAAACACACUUUGGCACCCCAAGAUUUGCUUCCUAUUCCUUUGGACAACCAGCGGUAGCCAUGUCAUGGAGCAAACAAGUUUACUUUUUUGGCCAUUUUCUCAUGUAUUGGAGCAGAUUAUUCAACAUUUUGAGGGAACAUUUUGUUCUAUCUAAGAUAAUCCGAUUGAUAUAAGAUUAUACAUACCAUUCAUUGUGCAUUACUAUAUGCUCUAUAUUGAGCUGAAAUCCUUGUUGAGCUUUUGUUAUAUUUUUACUAAGUACUACUUAGUUCCUACUUUAUAUUUUUGGCUAUCCUAAUUUUAAAUCUUAGGUCAAAUUUGCUAACCAGGAAGGAAGUCCUGCACAUUUACUCAAGAGCUUUGGUUUCGAAAAAUAUGCAUUUGGUAUUACCCAAGAAGGAAGUUGAACAGCAUCAUACGUUGCAACUCCAGAGGAAGAUAACAUACAACCUGGUGCCGAGAACAUUCUAUCCAUUUGUGAAUUGGAGACUUGUAAAGACAAAAGCCAGGAGGAGUUUUGAGAUUUGAGGACUACCAGUUAGGUCAGAAAUGUGGUUCUUCAUUUGGUAUUUCCGCCACAUGGAUUUGGUGUCAUCGACAACACGGGGCCUUCCAUAUCACCAUUUUUCAAGUAGAUUUGCAGUGGAAUGAGCAGGGGUUGACUCUCUGUCAAAUGAAAAAUUUACAAAAACGGCAAUUACCUCAUUUCCAAAGUCACAGCAGUCCAUUUUGCAUUUAUUUCCCCCUAACACAUCAUUGAUGAACUCUUGUGGCACUGGAAGUAGAGUGGAAUCUACUGCCCCAAAUGUUUCUUUUUUUUUCCGUGGAUCCAUUCAAGGUUGUUUGCACCUUUAAAACCAGCAUCCAGUUCUUCCACUACCUCCACCUUUUCUCUAUUAAGGAAUCCAUGGGAUUUAUCAAUAUCUGCCACUACAUCUCCAUUGUCAGUCUUACCUUCCACAUAACCUUUGUUAGCAAAGCCAGGACAUGAUUUUGAUCAUAAAAUCUCUUUUUUCUCCCAUUCCUAUUUUAACUACGGGAGGCGCUUCGCCAUCCACAUUAUGUUUGAUUAAGCAGUCACGGCAUACAGCCUACUCCACCAGGACUCUGUAAUGUUUCAAGCACUCCACUUGCUGCCAGUUAAAAUACUCUACAAAUGACUCCUAAAGUUGGAGCAACAUUUCCACCAACCAACGCUUCUCACCCAUCAGCAGAACCAUUAGACUUUAAUGCAGCAACGAAUGCUUCAUCUGGUCAAACACAACGUAUCUAUGGGCUCGUCCACUUUACCGACAUUGUGUGGCCAAUGAAUCUAUGGUGUGGUCCAGGGAUGUCAGUCUCAGACUCCUCCAUACUUGGAUAUCCAAGAGGUCAUGCAUUUGGUGUUUCAAGCACCUAACACUUUGGCACCCAAGACUUGCUUCAUACUCCUUUGGCAACCAGCAGUAUCCAUGUCAGGGAACAAAGGAAAAGAAAGUACACCACCUUUUUUCAAGAGCUCUGGUUUUGAAAAGUCAGUGUUUGGCAUUAAAAAAAAAAGGAAGUAGAUAACAUCAUAUACUGCAACUCCAGGGAACGAUAUCACAGGACCCGGUGGUGGAGAAGUUCAAUCCAUUUGUGGAAUGCCGACUUAUAAACAUAAAAGCGAGGAGGAGUUGAGGUUUGAGGACUACCAGUUAGGUGAUAAAGGUGAGGAAUGGCAUAUAUAGAUGCUACAUUUUAUACUGCCAAUUUCAUGAGAGGAGAGAUAUCAUAUUUACUUUUCUAGAGCAGCGAAACAGCUUUGGAAUUGGUCAAAAAGCUAAAUCUUCCUUGUGAAGGUAGCUAUGCACGUUGAUCUUUACUGGAUAAUACAAGUCUCAGAAAAUACCUUUCGAAGUUUUGAUAUAGCUAUAUCAAAAGUUCAACAAAAUUUGCUAUCAGAACGAUGGCUAAUUUAGUAUGUACAAAAUGCUAUGUUAAGACUGGUGCUCAAAGUGUGGAAACCAUUGCUAGAAGUUGUGAACCAUUCACAUAGUGAUGUAAGAUAUAUAGCUCCCUUCUGCUGUUCCCUUUCUUUUAUUUACUUUUAUCUUUCCAUAUUUGAUUAAGCUUUUUCACUUUCACACAAUUCUACUAGUGUAUGUUGUUUUCUUGUAGUCCCGCAGAAUUCAGAAAAGUUUGCUAUAGAGAAGAAAACAAGUCUAGGAUUCUACUCCUUGAGUGAUCCAAGUAACUGUCUCCGCGUUCAGUGUCACCUUCCACGUAUACUUGGUUAAACUCCUGUUUUGAUCAAAAGAAUUCUUUUUCUCUCAUUCCUGUUGAGGCACUCCACAAUCCACAUUAUGCAUGAAUUGCUUAAAGCAAUAACAAUCUACUUCACCAGGACUUUGUAAUGUUUCAAGCACUCCACUUGCUGCCAGUUAAAAUACUUUUGAAGUGUUUCUGAACAUAUAUGCAAUUGGAUCUCAUUUAUACCUCUACCAUUUGCUUUCUGUCAUAAAUAAUAUAAAGGGCACCUUAUGGUCUAUAAAAUCGGCGUGGCACUUCUGUUACGUUAUGCUACUCUUGCAGCCUUUGUUCUUUGGUCCUCUGCAGCCAGAAAUGACUUCCAACAACCAAUGCUUCUCACCCAUCAACAGGUUCGUAGUGCAGUUUGCCUUGCUCUUUUGAGGUUGAUAGUAUGUGGGAUUGUAAUCCAUGUAGCUAAUUCUCCCAGCACCUGUUUUUUAAGAAGAAACUAGUUGCUCAGAAAUCGGACAAUGAGGUCAGCCAAGUAUCAGUGACCAACAGUGAGUAUCAAACUUAACCAUCUAUUAUUUUACUUACUGCUUGUGUUAUUAAUUUUGACUUCUAGACUUCCCUGACAUUCUUUUUAUUUUCCCUAACUAAGUUAUUACUCUACAGUCCUGUUUUAACCUGAUCGUUUUAUUCUUCGACUUUCUCCUUUUUCUUGCCUCUGUGAUCAUUUAUUUGUACUCUUUCAUGCACCAGCUGUACCUUAACAUAUUUGCAGGUCUUACUUUCCGAUAAUCAUGGAAGAAAAUACAUCACCAAUUAUGCCUCCUGCUUUUCCAGAAUCAUUGAAGUGAAUCCAUCACCAGUUAUGCCUCCUGCUGAAACACAAUUUUCAAUCAAAAUUUCUUUCGAGUACCCGAAAUUGGCAACAUCCAUCCAGUAUGGAAUUUCUUGUCUACCUGUAAGUAAGUUCCCAUUUCUGAAUAACUAAGCAUAAUUAAUAUUGCUCUUGGAUGUGUUCGUUCAAACCAAAUAUCGUACUCUCUACAAGUUACAUGAUGUUUUGGGAUGCCUUGUUACUAUUGCUAUAAAUGUCAUGUACCUUGAAAGAAAGAUUCAUUUAUUUUGUUGUAAUUAUUGAUGCUUUCGUCGAGGUAAUUGCGUCUAGGUGCUGGCCAUUGUCUUUAGAUUAAAAAAUGAAAUUUAUUUUUGGAAUAUUGGAUAAGUAACAGUGAACUGAAGGAGUAUUAAGUUGGAUGGGAUAAUGUAGUGUAUUUAUAUCAAUGUAAAGAGUGUAUAACCAUGUAUAUAUGAUGUAUACUUAUGUAUUUAAAA